rfam:Ipomoea nil DNA, scaffold: scaffold1317, cultivar: Tokyo-kokei standard.
GGGGGUGUAGCUCAUUUGGUAGAGCGCUCGCUUCGCAUGCGAGAGGCACGGGGUUCAAUUCCCCGCACCUCUA